rnacentral:rRNA from 1 species
CCUACGGGUGGCUGCAGUGGGGGAUAUUGCACAAUGGGGGGAACCCUGAUGCAGCGACGCCGCGUGUGGGAAGACGGUCCUCUGGAUUGUAAACCACUGUCCCCAGGGACGAAAAUGACGGUACCGGGGGAGGAAGCGCCGGCUAACUACGUGCCAGCAGCCGCGGUAAUACGUCGGGAGCGAGCGUUGUCCGGAAGUACUGGGGGUCAAGGGAGCGUAGGCGGGGAGGCAAGUUGGGUGUCAAAACGACCGGCUCAACUGGUAGUCGCACUCAAAACUGCCGCUCUUGAGUGCAGUAGAGGCAGGCGGACUUCCUAGUGUAGCGGUGCAAUGCGUCGAUAUUAGGAGGAACACCAGUGGCGACGGCGGCCUGCUGGGCUUUUCCUGACGCUGAGGCUCGCAAGUGUGGGGAGCAAACAGGAUUAGCUACCCCAGUAGUC